rnacentral:rRNA from 1 species
AGAGUUUGAUCCUGGCUCAGGACGAACGCUGGCGGCGCGCUUAACACAUGCAAGUCGAGCGAGAACCAGGGCUUCGGCCCUGGGGACAGCGGCGAACGGGUGAGUAACACGUGGAUAACCUGCCCUCGGCACCGGGAUAGCCCGGGGAAACUCGGAUUAAUACCGGAUAGCCCUUUCGGCUUUCGAGCCGGUCGGAAAAGGUAGCUUCGGCCUCUGGCCGAGGAUGGGUCCGCGGCGGAUUAGCUUGUUGGUGGGGUAAUGGCCUACCAAGGCACCGAUCCGUAGCUGGUCUGAGAGGACGAUCAGCCACACUGGGACUGAGACACGGCCCAGACUCCUACGGGAGGCAGCAGUGGGGAAUCUUGCUGCAAUGGGCGAAAGCCUGACGCAGCGACGCCGCGUGAGGGAGGAAGGCCUUCGGGUUGUAAACCUCUUUCAGGAGGGACGAAGCUACUCGGGUGAAUAGCCCAGAGGGUGACGGUACCUCCA